rnacentral:sRNA from 1 species
CGCAAAUUACCCAUGAAAUAUAAUUUCAUCAUAUGCCCAGUAGAAAACAA